GGUUCAGAGCUAGCCAGCGACAGCUUCCUUGAGUUCAUGGGUACUCCAAGAUACCGAAAAGGUAAACUCCCACAUGCCAUUCCUGUAGAAGCUUGGAUCGUAUUGAUUUCAUCUUCCGACAAACCUGAUGCAAAGAAGCUCGUUUUUUGCAUACUUACAGCCAGGCCAGACCUAUCUUCAAACUCACGCAGCACCUGGAGAACACAUUGAACUGAUUCAAUGUUUCCUUCAGUGAAGAUUAGUAGAUCAUCAGCAAACGACAAGUGUGUAAGCUUUAUCUUCUUGCACUGGGAGUGGUAGCGUAGACCAGAGUGGGAAGCAGCAUUAUUCAGCAUAUGUGAGAGGCAAUUCAUCGCUAUAACAAAGAGGUAAGGGGAUAAGGGGUCUCCCUGUCUUAGCCCUCUUGUACCUUUGAAAUAACCAUUAACAGUACCGUUGUAGCCCACCAUAAAACUUGUUUUACAUAUGCAGGAGCUUAGCCAGUGAAUGAAAGUAUCAGGAAGGCCUAAUCCGUGGAGGCAUGAGAAAAGGAAGUCCCAUGAAAGAGUGUCAAAUGCCUUCGCGAUAUCGACUUUGAUGGAAAUUUGGGAACUAGAGUGAGGAUAGUGGCAUUCGUAGAGGAAGGCAUGAACCCUGUCUGAAAGAAAUUGAUGAUGGCGUUGGAUACUUCGUCACCAAGAGAGUCCCAUGAUGCUUUAAAGAAUCCUGAGGUUAGUCCAUCAGGCCCAGGUGCCUUAUUCGGGUUGAGCCUGAACAUCAUCGAUUUUAUCUCAUCUCGUGAAGGAAUUAACAUCAUCUGUGUACGCUGCGCAGGAGAGAUGGUGAAGUUGAGUAGGCUACAGAACCAGUCGCGAGAGGAAAUGACUUUUGGUGGUACAUACACAGGGCCUAGUACUGAGCAGAAGUGCGCCACAGCCAAAUUACUCAUCUCCAUAGGGUCUGUUAUCCAUACUCCAGAACCGUCUAGGAAGGCUCGAAUGGCGUUAUAGCUUGCUCUCACUUGGCAUAUCCUAUGGAAGAAGGUGGUGUUGAAGUCCCCUGCUCUGAGCCAGUUUAUUCUAGACUUUUGUCUAAAGUAAAGCUCCUCAAUUUCCCUCAAGAAGUCCCACUUUUGAUGUAGGGUCCUCUCCUCUUGAAAAGUUGUUGUGCUCGGAUCUUGUAGCGCAUGUACCUGCAAACAUUGAAGCAAACGCACAACUGAGACAAUGUUUGGCAUACGCUUCCAGCCAGAAUCCAGGCUUCUUUGAUCAACAUGGCGAACCCAGGGUGCUUAGUUAGGUAGUUUUGGAAACGGUAAGGGCAAGUUCCAGCUUGGGGAAGGCUUAGGGCUAGGUUAAGGAGACAGGGGGAGUGGUCUGACAUUUCUGGAGGGAGGAAGGAGGCUACUGCGUGGGGAUAAGACGAGAUAGUGGUGUUGUUUACCAGUAGCCUAUCGAGCUUUUUGGCAAUGGGUGUUUCAGGCUGCUUAUUGGACCAAGUGUGACAGGGACCCAAAUACCGUAAGUCGAAUAAGCCUGCUUGCAGAAGACAGUCUUGCAAUUGGAACAUGAGGCUACUUGUGUGAUCCACCUCAGGGCUCGAGUGCUCAAAAGGAAACAGGACCUGAUUCAGAUCUCCACCAACUACCCAAUUACUGUUGUCAAGAGCAAAGGUUGUCUGGUUUUGAAGAAGAUCACUCCAAAGCUCCACUCUCUCCUCGCUCAGGUUUGAAGCGUAUAUAGCAGAGUAAUAGAGAGGAGCUUGGUUUGGAAUUGUGAUAGAGCAAGUCAAGAGCUGGCUAGACUGGAACAGAAUUCGAACAUCUAGAGGGUCCUUCCAGAUCAGAACAAUGCGGCCAUCUGGGUCAGAUAGGUGAUUAGAGGUGAACUUCCACUGUGGGCACAACUUGGUUAUUAUAGGGGCUAGAGAAGGUUCUUUUAUAUGAGUUUCAAGAAGGGCACCAAAAAGGGGCUUUUGGCUUCUAAGCCAAUCUACAAAAGGUUUAUGCUUGCCCGGGUCAUUUAGGCCACGGACAUUCCAAAAAAAGAGCUUGACACUCAUUGGGGAGGGAUUUGAGGGUCCUCUGAGAGAGCGACACCUCUAGGAUCAGGCGGGAAGGAGUUAUCAAGAAGUGGGUGAGGGUUUUGAAUGGAUAAGUCAGGGUCAGGUGGUUUGAGGAGAG